rnacentral:rRNA from 1 species
UAAGGUUAAGUUAAUAAGGGCGCACGGUGGAUGCCUUGGCACUAGGAGCCGAUGAAGGACGUGACAAACGACGAAAUGCUUUGGGGAGCUGUAAGUAAGCUGAGAUCCAGAGAUGUCCGAAUGGGGGAACCCAACAGGUUGAUGCCUGUUAUCCAUGACUGUUAAGGUCAUGCGAAGGAAGACGCAGUGAACUGAAACAUCUAAGUAGCUGCAGGAAGAGAAAGCAAGAGCGAUUGCCUUAGUAGCGGCGAGCGAAACGGCAGGAGGGCAAACCGAGAAGUUUACUUCUCGGGGUUGUAGGACUGUAACGUGGACGGAUAGAGUAUAGAAGAAUGACAUGGGAAGGUCAGCCAAAGAGAGUGAGAGCCUCGUAUUUGAAAUAGUCUAUCUACCUAACAGUAUCCUGAGUACGGCGAGACACGCGAAAUCUCGUCGGAAUCUGGGAGGACCAUCUCCCAACCCUAAAUACUCCCUAGUGACCGAUAGUGAACCAGUACCGUGAGGGAAAGGUGAAAAGCACCCCGGAAGGGGAGUGAAAUAGAACCUGAAACCGUGUGCCUACAACAAGUUCGAGCCCGUUAAUGGGUGAGAGCGUGCCUUUUGUAGAAUGAACCGGCGAGUUACGUUAUGAUGCGAGGUUAAGUUGAAGAGACGGAGCCGUAGGGAAACCGAGUCUGAACAGGGCGGUAUAGUAUCAUGAUGUAGACCCGAAACCAUGUGACCUACCCAUGAGCAGGUUGAAGGUGCGGUAAGACGCACUGGAGGACCGAACCAGGGCACGUUGAAAAGUGCUUGGAUGACUUGUGGGUAGCGGAGAAAUUCCAAACGAACUUGGAGAUAGCUGGUUCUCUCCGAAAUAGCUUUAGGGCUAGCGUCGAUAUGUAAGAAUCUUGGAGGUAGAGCACUGUUUGGAUGAGGGGGCCAUCUCGGUUUACUGAUUUCAGAUAAACUCCGAAUGCCAACGAUUCAUGAUCGGCAGUCAGACUGCGAGUGCUAAGAUCCGUAGUCGAAAGGGAAACAGCCCAGACCACCAGCUAAGGUCCCAAAAUAAUUGUUAAGUGGAAAAGGAUGUGGGGUUGCACAGACAACUAGGAUGUUAGCUUAGAAGCAGCUAUUCAUUCAAAGAGUGCGUAAUAGCUCACUAGUCGAGUGACCCUGCGCCGAAAAUGUACCGGGGCUAAAACAAUUUACCGAAGCUGUGGAUAACACAAU